ACCCCCCGCCCCACCAGCCUCCUGGGGCCCCACACCCAGCAGUCACUCACCACUGGAAGUAAAGGAACACCUGGCCCACCUGUAGGGAGACCGGCUAUCAGGGGGCAGGAGUGUGUGUCUGCAGAGCCAGGAGGCCCGCCCAGCUUCCUAGGACGGGACCUCCCACGCCCCUCCGCUCCAGGGAAGCAAAGGCGAACAUGAAGACGGCGGCCACGCCCUGGAGGAAGAGCUGCCGCGGGAGCCUGGAGCCCGCCAUGUCCGCUACGCGGCCGGCUGGAGCAGAGCCCGCGGGUCCCGCGGCCCCGCCCGCGGCAUCCUGAGCCCCGCCUCCGGCGGGCCCAAGCCCCACCCUCAGCAGA